ACGAGGCGCAGGCACGCCAGCAGGGGAGAGGGAGACUCGGAAGCACAGGCGACAGGCCAGAUGCGGCUGGGUUGGCAGAGUCCAGGGUCCACGCAGGCAGAGUGCAGAAUGCGUGAGGAGGACUGAAGUCACGGGGCAGGAGGACCGGGCAGGCCCUGCAGACCAGGGACAAGGGCUUGCCACAGCGCCUGAGCCAGUCAGACGUCUGUCAGCAAACGCCGGGGCCACAGCCCCAAGACAGGACUGCAGAAGGGAGAAACUCACUUUGCUGAUUCCAGAAGCAGGCGACAGAGACCCUGCUCCCAUAGUAACUGGACUGGGAGAGACAGCAAAGUGGACCAGCGACCCCACGGCGUGAGCUCUAACAAGCCCCGGCCGGCGCACCCCACAGAACAAGGGAAGUGGACUUUCCUGGGGGCAGCUGCAGACCUCAGGGCACCUCCCAGACCCAUAAACACAGAGCAGCUGUGGGUGAGACUCGGCAGGCGGCUGGGGAGCAAGACCACCUGGCCGCAGGCCUGUGGGGCAGGCACCUCAUGCUGCUGGCUCUCACCUCCACCAGGGGCCUGCAGUGCCCCCCACGUCCGCCUGCGCCGAGCCACAGUGUGCACCCCGACAGCUUCCCCAGAAGAGGAUAGCAGAGGACAUGGUCUCUGAUGGCCAAGGAAGAGUGAAAAGUCAGCCACGGAAGGACAGCAGAAAACCCCUCAGACCUUGGAAAUUAAGCAGGAUGUGCCAAGGACUGAAUGUGCUAAAGUGUCCAGACUGAAAUCCGACACUGCCUCGAGCUAAGUUAGAGUGAAGUUACCAUUCAAACUGUGCUUCGGGGAACUGCAUCCCCAUAGAUGCUGCAAAAACUAGAAGACAGCACAGUGGGCUAAACUGUGCCCCCAGCGCCUGGGCCGGAUCUAGCAUGGAGACAGGUCUUUGUGCUGACUGCUGCAGUUGCCCACGGCAUGGGAAGGAGAACCGCAAGCUUGGUACACAUGGUAUUGCUGCCCCACCAGCAUGGCUCCAGCUUCUCCUAGAAGAGGGUAGCUGCACACACAUGCGCGCACACACACACGAAGCCACCUGCCCCACAGAAUGCAGAGCAGAUGUUACAGAAAGGAGAAAAGACCACAAAGCACAGCACAGUGUCUUCCCGGUGCCAAGUCGCCCGACAGCACCCACACAUCUGCCCUGACCGCUGCGUGGACCCCGGCCACGAAUAUUGCUCCAACCCUCCGGCUCGGGGAUCUCAUUCCUCCGCCGUUUGUCCCAGAAACACGUUCGAAGCCGUCCACACCAGCGGCCACCACAGGCCUGAGGAUGCCACAGAAGCCCCUCCACCAUACUGGCAUUGUCGUUCUUGCCACAAGCAGAGCUGGCCCCAGGUACCUCCAGGUGGGUGGUGGCUGGGCUGAGUCCCCAGCUGCACUGGUCUGGUGGCCCAGGGCCCAGGGCAGCUGCCCCUCGCCCUCGCUCAGGAAGCCCAAGCCUGGGCUGGGGCCUCUAACUAAACCCAGGCCGUGUGGCCCCUUCCUGACGGGGGCCUGCUCACCAUGGACCCAGGGCCCACGCUCCAUGCCCUGAGUCAGCUGCAGUGCCCCCAAGCCUGGGCUCGCUCCAGGCCCUUCCACAGGCACCCGCUGCCCCACCCGACCUCGCCAUGUUCUAAGAACCAGUCUGCAACAUCUGCCGUCAGAGGGUGUCACAGAGGGUGUCACGGAGCGUGCCUCAUCAGCGAGAGUCCAGUAAACAGCAUGUUUCUUUCCUUGAGUGUGGUGUAAGCCAAGCACGGCUUAGACUGAGUCAUCUGUGUUGUCUGGAGGUCAGGUUGUCCUGUACCUGUGCUGUUAUUUGCUGGCUUGGCCCCCUGCCCCACAAGGGCGGAUGCAUGGUUGCCCACAGUGACCCCCACACUGCUGGCCCCUCGCCCUGACCAGGAGAUUUUCAAACACAGAGACCUCUGGGGACCCUGCCCACUGGCUGGACAGAAGCAACUACAGAAAAUGCCAGGGCAGAUUCUGGGGUGCAGAGGACAGUCAGGAUGCCCAGAGUCACUGACAGGGCCGUGUGGAAUCCCCUGGCACUGGCAGGGCAGGAGGCUCACCUUGGGUGCUUGAGAGUUUCCUCUGCCUCAUGUUUGGGGCUUCUGCAGAACCUCAAAAGCGGGGCAGAGGCGGGGGCCACUCCGGAAGCACUGUAGAGUUCAGCAUGAAGCCGACUCCACAGUGUCGAGGGUGCGCGGGGUGGGGGUUCGGGCUUCCCCCAGCCUGUUCAGGCCUCCGGUGUCGGGGUUGCACCAUCAGGCCCCCAGGGCCACGGAGCCCCACCAGGCCCAGCCCACGUGGUAAGAGCACUCAGAGGGAGGCCCUUCCCGAGCCUGGGCAAGGCCCUGGUUUCCAUUUCAGUGCUGCAAAUAAAUUUUAAAAUGAAAAUGAAAAAGAAAGCCCUUGAAUGGAUUCUGAUUUGCCGAGAGAACUCCAUGGUGGAGCUCAGAGACUCUGAGGAAGCCACACAUGUCUAGUAAAACUCGCCUAAAGAUGCUCCAAGUGAUCAUUCACAUUCAUGCUCUCCUUCCCCAUCUCUCUCUGAGACUAG
rnacentral:lncRNA from 1 species